rnacentral:rRNA from 1 species
GAUGAACGCUGGCGGCGUGCCUAAUACAUGCAAGUCGAGCGAAUGGAUUAAGAGCUUGCUCUUAUGAAGUUAGCGGCGGACGGGUGAGUAACACGUGGGUAACCUGCCCAUAAGACUGGGAUAACUCCGGGAAACCGGGGCUAAUACCGGAUAACAUUUUGAACCGCAUGGUUCGAAAUUGAAAGGCGGCUUCGGCUGUCACUUAUGGAUGGACCCGCGUCGCAUUAGCUAGUUGGUGAGGUAACGGCUCACCAAGGCAACGAUGCGUAGCCGACCUGAGAGGGGGAUCGGCCACACUGGGACUGAGCAACGGCCCAGACUCCUACGGGAGGCAGCAGUAGGGGAUCAUCCGCAAUGGACGAAAGUCUGACGGAGCAACGCCGCGUGAGUGAUGAAGGCUUUCGGGUCGUAAAACUCUGUUGUUAGGGAAGAACAAGUGCUAGUUGAAUAAGCGGGCACCUUGACGGUACCUAACCAGAAGCCACGGCUAACUACGUGCCAGCCGCCGCAGUAA